UUGAGAAGUACUGCCCAGACAAUAUUAUCCACAGCUUGAGCAAGGUGCCUGAAUGGUGAUUAAACAACUUCAAGCUUUCUCAGGAGAAACAGGUUAUCUGGGCCCAUUUCUGUCUGGUUUCAGUCCCAGGUAUCCCAUUGAAACAGUAUUAGCCACUGUGAAUGAUGAUCUACUCAGGAUAAAAGAUGGAGAAAUUCUACCCUGUCAAUUUCCUGGAUUCUCUCAAUAUAUUUUGAUCACUGUUCUGGAUCUGCCAAGCAGAGAUGUGAUGCGUUUCCUUGAGGGCUCCAAGAGGGAAGAAGGAGGUACAGAACAUUUCAGAACCUGAUCCAACUGGAUUGUCUUCUCAGAUUUUAAACCAUGGCUGAUAUCAAAUGAGAGACUCCCUCCUGGGCACACAGAAGACUGGGCGACUUGGAAGGCGCUGAACAGACUGCGCUCUGGCACCAUGAGAUGCAGAGCCAAUCUUAAGAAAUGGAGGCACAAAGUGGAGUCCAUGACACGUGAGUGUGGAGAAGAGCAAACCACAGACCACCUAUUACAAUGCAGUCUGAGCCCUGCUACAUGCAGAAAGGAGGACCUUUUCACAGCAACACUAGAGGCACUCCAAGCGGCCAGUUACUGGUCAAAGCACAUUUAGUAUAAUGUCAAGUUUUAACUUUGUUUGUGUUCUUAAAUCCAUUACAAGUGUACCCUCAGUUUGCUUCUGAUACGAUAAAUAAAUAAAAUAAAACCACUUCAGAAUCAGCUGUAUCCUUCAAGGGAUGACAUACUGUACAUUUAAAAAUUAAAUAACUUACAAGGAUUCCCAGUCAAAUCAAUAUGCCCAAAUAUGUGAAAAGUCUCUUUCCCAUCUAAUGGCAGCCAUGUACCUGUAUAUUCAAUUAAUUUAUGAGAUUUUGAUUGAACACCUCUAUAUUAUUACCCAGAGACUUAUUUUAUGCUUUAUAACAAAGUGCAGUUUUAGAUAAGAUCUCUACAGUUCAGACAUUAUAGUCCAACUCUGUACAGCAAGUAUUUGUCUUUUUAAUGCAGUUAACAAAUUCAGUAAUGUUUUUAUACGUAUCUACUACUCAUCUUGUUAAAUCCAAAUCUCUAGAAACUUUAAUUAAUACUCACAACUCUGAUGAUAAUAAUAUCAUGAUUCUUUUCAGAAGAGUAAGAUAUUGGCAGAUCAGUUAAGUACCCAAUUGAGCAUGAGUUGGGAGAAAUUGGUUUAGCAGCCUCAAAUCAAUGGAAAUGUUUCAGUUUAAUAAAAAGUGAA